rnacentral:rRNA from 1 species
AGGGGCAGCGCGGGAUAGCAAUAUCCUGGCGGCGACCGGCGGAAGGGUGCGUAACGCGUGAGCGACAUGCCCGUUGCCCGGGGACAACCGGUGGAAACGCCGACUAAUCCCCGAUGGGAUACGAUGCUUCAUGGCAUUGUAUUGAAAGUUACGGCGGCGACGGAUUGGCUCGCGUCCGAUUAGCUUGUUGGCGGGGUAACGGCCCACCAAGGCUACGAUCGGUAGGGGUUCUGAGAGGAAGGCCCCCCACAAUGGGACUGAGACACGGCCCAUACUCCUACGGGAGGCAGCAGUGAGGAAUAUUGGUCAAUGGGCGGAAGCCUGAACCAGCCAUGCCGCGUGCGGGAAGGAGGCCCUAUGGGCUGUGAACCGCUUUUGCCUGGGGGCAAUAAGGGCGUCGCGCACGUCCGAUGAGAGUACCAGGCGAAUAAGCAUCGGCUAACUCCGUGCCAGCAGCCGCGGUAAUACGGGGGAUGCGAGCGUUAUCCGGAUUCAUUGGGUUUAAAGGGUGCGUAGGCUGUGCGUCAAGUCGGGGGUGAAAUUCCGGUGCUCAACACCGGGGCUGCCCUUGAUACUGUCGCGCUGGAGUGCGGAUGCCGCCGGAGGAAUGAGUGGUGUAGCGGUGAAAUGCUUAGAUAUCACUCAGAACACCGAUUGCGAAGGCAUCUGGCGAAUCCGUAACUGACGCUGAGGCACGAAAGCGUGGGGAUAGAACAGGAUUAGAUACCCUGGUAUUCCACGCCGUAAACGAUGAUGGCUAACCGCCGGCGACACACUGUCGGUGGCCAAGCGAAAGCGAUAAGCCAUCCACCUGGGGAGUACGUCGGCAACGAUGAAACUCAAAGGAAUUGACGGGGGCCCGCACAAGCGGAGGAACAUGUGGUUUAAUUCGAUGAUACGCGAGGAACCUUACCCGGGCUCGAACGGCACCUGGAUCGCCCAGAGAUGGGCGAGUCUUCGGACAGGUGUCGAGGUGCUGCAUGGUUGUCGUCAGCUCGUGCCGUGAGGUGUCGGCUCAAGUGCCAUAACGAGCGCAACCCUUGCCGCCAGUUGCCAUCAGGUGAUGCUGGGCACUC